rnacentral:rRNA from 1 species
UACGUAGGUGACAAGCGUUGUCCGGAUUUAUUGGGCGUAAAGCGUCCGCAGGUGGCAGUUCAAGUCUGCUGUCAAAGACCGGGGCUUAACUUCGGAAAGGCAGUGGAAACUGAACAGCUAGAGUAUGGUAGGGGCAGAGGGAAUUCCUGGUGUAGCGGUGAAAUGCGUAGAUAUCAGGAAGAACAUCGGUGGCGAAGGCGCUCUGCUGGACCAUAACUGACACUCAGGGACGAAAGCUAGGGGAGCGAAUGGG